AGGUGCCCCCAGGUGCCCCCAGGUGCGUACCGUGCAUGUUGUAGUCGAAGGUGAGCUCCUCCCCGGCGCGGAUGGGGUGUGUGUGGGUGUGUCCCAGGUGUGUGUGGGUGUGUCCCAGGUGUGUGUGGGUGUGUCCCAG